AGGACGAACGCUGGCGGCGCGCCUAAAACAUGCAAGUCGAACGAGAAGCCCGGGCUUGCCCGGGUGGACAGUGGCGAACGGGUGAGUAACACGUGAGGAACCUGCCCCGAAGACCGGGACAACACCGGGAAACCGGUGCUAAUACCGGAUACCUUCACCGGAUCGCAUGGUCUGGUGAAGAAAUGGAUUCCGCUUCGGGAUGGCCUCGCGGCCUAUCAGCUUGUUGGUAAGGUAACGGCUUACCAAGGCAACGAUCGAUAGCUGGUGUGAGAGCACGACCAGCCACACGGGCACUGAGAUACGGGCCCGACUCCUACGGGAGGCAGCAGUAAGGAAUAUUGGUCAAUGGACGAAAGUCUGAACCAGCCAUGCCGCGUGAAGGAUGAAGGCCCUCUGGGUUGUAAACUUCUUUUAUCUGUGAAUAAACAUCCUUUUUCUAAGGGAUUUGAAGGUAAUAGAUGAAUAAGCACCGGCUAACUCCGUGCCAGCAGCCGCGGU
rnacentral:rRNA from 1 species